rnacentral:rRNA from 1 species
UGUAUUUAUUAGAUAAAAAACCAAUGCCCUUCGGGGCUUUUUGGUGAUUCAUGAUAACUUUACGGAUCGCAUAGCCUUGCGCUGGCGACGGUUCAUUCAAAUUUCUGCCCUAUCAACUUUCGAUGGUAAGGUAUUGGCUUACCAUGGUUUCAACGGGUAACGGGGAAUUAGGGUUCGAUUCCGGAGAGGGAGCCUGAGAAACGGCUACCACAUCCAAGGAAGGCAGCAGGCGCGCAAAUUACCCAAUCCCGACACAGGGAGGUAGUGACAAUAAAUACUGAUACAGGGCUCUUUUGGGUCUUGUAAUUGGAAUGAGUACAAUUUAAACCUCUUAACGAGGAACAAUUGGAGGGCAAGUCUGGUGCCAGCAGCCGCGGUAAUUCCAGCUCCAAUAGCGUAUAUUAAAGUUGUUGCAGUUAAAAAGCUCGUAGUUGAAACUUGGGCCUGGCUGGCGGGUCCGCCUCACCGCGUGCACUCGUCCGGCCGGGCCUUCCUUCUGAAGAACCUCAUGCCCUUCACUGGGCGUGCUGGGGAACCAGG